rnacentral:lncRNA from 1 species
GCUUCAUUCUGCUGAAUUGUUGGUAAGACUUGCGCGCCUCGUGCGGUUGCUCUCUGUACUUCUCGAGUUCACAGAGCUGUUGGUUCUUCCAGACUUCCUUUUUCUAUCUGUGAAGCCGCUUCAUCACUCAACGGAGUUUGUGAUAGGUUUCUGCGCGUACCCGCAUUCCUAGAGUGCGCAGCAUUUUUUCGUUCCGUUGCUAGCUUCCAUUCAUUAUCCUUCCGACUUUUUUUUUGCAACUGCGACCAAGUAUGUAUGUGCCCGUACCGACGAUAACGUUCUUCAAGAGGUUGUGAGGAUCAUUGGUCGAUGCUUCAUCUCCAGGACCUCUAUAACUGCGGUUAUUGCGGCAUUUAUUUCCCUCAUAGGUGUUACGAAGGUCUCUGUUAUGGAUGGCUGUAGUGUUCACUCUCGCCUGAUAGUCAGAGCGGAUCUAGGUGGUGUUGUUAUUCGAGCUCGAAGCCCUACACCAAUGAGAUAGUGAUCCGAGUCUAUAUUGGCUCCAAUAUAUAUUCUGACAUUCACCAAGGAUGAGAGAUGACAGUGUUCGAUUAGUACGUGGUUAAUUUGGUUGAAAGUGUGGACCGCUUCCGCGCAAAUCAAAUACUUCCAACAACCAUUUCAUGGGACAUUGCUGGUUGAAUUUGCAAGCUAUGGAAACCGACUUAUCGCUUGAAUACUUGACUGUUAAAAUGUUAGAUUAUAAUUUUGAUAUUAUACGUGGGAGAAGUUUCGACAGUUCUUUCUAUUAUCUCCUACUCUGCAGUCUCCUUGGUAAGGACGUGAACGUUAAUGAGGCUUAUAUUUUGAAAUUUGCCUCCCAAACGGAGAGUGUAUAAUCGUUCGCUUAUGUUCAAUGUUUUUCAAUGCCAAUAACAGCAGGUUUAAUUUAUUGACUGACUAGGAAACUUCCGAGCAUAUGGCUGACUGGAUGACCACUAUAAUAUAUGAUGUAGUGGCUCUUCUCUGCAAAACCGGUCCCUGUCCAGUGCAUCUCUUGUAACGCUUUAACGUCAGCCUCAUAUUGGGACAGGAUAUCGGCUAGUUGCUUGACAGCUACUUUUCUGUACAGAUCCAUCGUUGUAAAAUCCGGCCAGCCCGAGGCUCACUUCACAGCUCCGUAAAUUUGGUUAUCGUUGAAGGGUUGUAUCCAACCCCCAAUCUGGAGGACCAGUUGUUUCUCGUUAAAAAACAACUUCCCGCGAUCACCAUGUGGAGAUGGAGAUAGAGUUUGGUAGUAGAGUUAUUGGUGUUAGUUCAGCAGGCGUUUCCCAGGUUUUAUGUUUCAUCGUAUGCACCAGGCCACGUUUCGCCCUGUAUUUAAAAUUUCUGAUUUCGGUUAUUCUUCGAAAAAAAGAUGACAACAAAUUUACAAAUAUCUAACGGAAUGAGGUUUUGUUUAUAUAAAUGCUACACUUGCAACAAGCGUCGCCGGGGGGAAAUAACUCCGAAGGCCCAUAUUUCCAGAGACUCGUGAAGAUGAUGAACUGCACCUCUUACGUCCUCAUGUUUUCGAUUACAAAACUGUCUUAGAGAUGAGAAACCUGGACACCAGUACCUUAAACGAUGUAGACAAAAACAAGGUAGAUAUGGAUAAGUCCACUUCUCUUUGUGAAAAUAUUGUAACAACUGUCAUCAGGCAGCAGGCGGAAAUAGUAAAAUGUAGUGCUCGGAAACAUUACUAUAUUUCAGCAUCAUUGGGAAGUGAUAGAGGUGUAAAUUUGAAAAUGUUUUAAUUAACUUAUCUUAAGAGUUCAGUUACUAAAACUUAUAGAUAUAUUAUCCCAGCAAUUUAGGAUGAAUGAACAUUUGAAUGAAUAGGAUGCUGCAAACUUGCUUUGCAUUUAUUUUCGUUAAUGUCCAUAUCUAAUCA